rnacentral:misc_RNA from 1 species
UGAGUGGUGUUUGGUUUGUUACGGGUGGUUGGCUCUUUGCUUGCGCAACAACUUCCACCCGGCAUACCUCUUCAGUCUUGUGUCAAUGCUUGUAUUGCAUUGAAUGCACGGUGGGUUUCUUGUGUUGCAUGCCUAAUUGAUGGUAUCAUUUAAUGAUUUGAUGUCCAUUUUCGUCUUGUGUUGCACAUGCGAUGUGAGAUGAACCUUGAUGCUGCCUUUGUGAUCCACUCUUUUGAUGCACACGCAUUGAUUUUGUGGCUCAUUGAGUGUUGCUUGGUCUCACGGAUAUGGAACCUUGUGUGGGCAUGAGAUCUUUUACUAGUUCCUUGUUUGCCCUAGUUAAGCUUUUCAAAUACGAUUUCCUAUCAUGUCUUGACGUGGUAGGC